rnacentral:rRNA from 1 species
AGAGUUUGAUCCUGGCUCAGGACGAACGCUGGCGGUGUGCUUCACACAUGCAAGUCGAACGAGGUAGCAAUACCUAGUGGCGGACGGGUGAGUAACGCGUGGGAAUCUGCCUUUAGAUGGGGGAUAACGAGCCGAAAGGUUCGCUAAUACCGCAUAUGCCGCAAGGUGAAAGGAGUAAUCCGUCUAAAGAUGAGCCCGCGUCCGAUUAGCUAGUUGGUGGGGUAAAGGCCUACCAAGGCGACGAUCGGUAGCUGGUCUGAGAGGAUGAUCAGCCACAAUGGGACUGAGACACGGCUCAUACUCCUACGGGAGGCAGCAGUGGGGAAUUUUACGCAAUGGGGGAAACCCUGACGUAGCGACACCGCGUGAGCGAAGAAGCCCCUUGGGGUGUAAAGCUCUGUCAGCUGGAACGAAACAAAUGACGGUACCAGCAGAGGAAGCAUCGGCUAACUACGUGCCAGCAGCCGCGGUAAGACGUAGGAUGCGAGCGUUGUCCGGAUUUAUUGGGCGUAAAGAGUUCGUAGGUGGUUUGUUAAGUUUGAUGUUAAAGAUCGGGGCUCAACCUCGGGACAGCAUUGAAUACUGGCAGACUUGAGUAUGGUAGAGGCUAGUGGAAUUCCCAGUGUAGCGGUGAAAUGCGUAGA